rnacentral:rRNA from 1 species
UACGUAGGGGGCAAGCGUUGUCCGGAUUUAUUGGGCGUAAAGAGCGUGUAGGCGGCUUGGUAGGUCUCGCGUCAAAACCUGAGGCUCAACCUCAGUUCGCGUGGGAAACCACCUAGCUAGAGUCCGGAAGAGGAGAAGCGGAAGUCCCAGUGUAGCGGUGAAAUGCGCAGAUAUUGGGAAGAACACCAGUGGCGAAGGCGGUUCUCUGGGGACGGUACGUGACGCUGAGACGCGAAAAGCGUGGGGAGCGAACGAGG